AGCCGUUGGACUGCGACACUAGCUAGCUAGCCGCUGAGCUAGCUAACCGUCUACAACCAAGCGGCUCUUCAUCGUUCGUCUGGCAGCCGGAGCAGGCAAAAGGGCUGCAUCUUAAGUACAGUGGGGGCUCUCUGAUGAUCCCCCCGUUCAUCCGAUGAACCACCUCAACUCCAUGAAACCUUCCCUGCCUCCCAAUCCACAAAGCAGCGACGGCCCCUUCCUGAAUGACCCAGUCUCCUGGCAACCAGGCACCAAUCAGCACCCAGGAUCUCUCUCUGUAGUAACCACAGUGUGGGGCGUGACCAAUCCCACACACAGUCAGGUGUUUGGGGCACCCAUGGGUCCGGGUGAGGGCUCUGGCGGUCACAUGAUGCCCGGCGGCAGCCCCGGUAUGGGUCCUGGCAUGGGCUCCCAGUAUAUGGGCCAGCAGUCGUACGGAGACGCCAUCUCUAAGGGCUACGGCCAGCCGGUCAUGUACGGACGUCCCAGUGGCGCUUACAACCAGUCCUCUGGCUACGGUGGAAGUUACUCUGGUAACAGUGGAGGUGCCGGCAUGGGCGUUCGUCCUCCCUCAGACUUCACUCAGGCUGCAGCCGCUGCCGUUGCCGCCGCCGCUGCCACGGCAACUGCCACUGCUACGGCAACUGUUGCGGCAAUACAGGAGAAGCAGAACCAGGAGAUGAACUAUGGCCAGAUGGGUGGAGCAUCCUCUUACAGCACCCAGUUCCUGUCUCAUGCGGGCCCCCGCGGCCCUCCAGGGAUGGUCUCUUCCAGGCCGGGACCUCCACCGCCCGGCGGAGGCCUGUAUCCUUCUCACCCCGCCCAGGCUCAGAAGAUGCCCCAGCACGGAGGUUAUCCUGGGCAACAGCAGGGGCUCAAACGGCCUUUCCAUUCAGAGGGUUUUCCAGUGCAGCAGUACGGCUCCGGUGGGAUGUCGGGGUACCCUACCCAGCCUCUGCAGUACCCCACUGGUCCACAGCAGCGAUGCCCCCCCUCACCCUCUUACCCCUCCAGUCGGAUGCCUCUCAUGGGGCAGUACACUUCUGGAUCACACAACCCGGCACAGUUCCCCCCUGGAGCCGGCCAGCCCAAUCCUCCACAGUAUUAUAAGUCCGAGCCGUUCAACGGUCAGGGCAGUCUGCCACCUGGAGGAGCCGGAGGAUACAACGCCUUCACGCAGGCUGCAGUCAACGGGCCAGGUCGGGGUGGAGUGAUGCCCGGGUAUCCCAGCUCCCCGAUGGGAGGGAAUCCCACGCCUCCGAUGACACCCGGGACGUCCAUACCUCCCUACCUGUCCCCGGGCCAGGACACGAAACCCCCGUACCUCCCACCGGACACCAAACCCAACAUCAACACCCAGCAGGUCUCUACAGGUAACCCGAGCGACGACCUGCGCCUGACGUUCCCGGUACGAGACGGCGUGGUGUUGGAGCCGUUCAGACUGGAGCACAACCUGGCCGUCAGUAACCACGCCUUCCAGCUGAGAGACUCCGUCUACAAAACGCUCAUGUUGAGACCGGAUCUGGAGUUGCAGUUCAAGUGUUACCACCACGAGGACAGACAAAUGAACACUAACUGGCCUGCCUCUGUUCAAGUGAGCGUCAAUGCAACUCCUCUGUGCAUUGAAAGAGGGGACAACAAAACCUCCCACAAGCCCUUGUACCUAAAGCCAGUGUGUCAACCGGGACGUAACACCGUACAGAUCACAGUGACCGCCUGCUGUUGUUCCCACCUGUUUGUGUUACAGUUGGUCCACCGGCCGUCGGUCCGGUCCGUCCUGCAGGGUCUGAUGAAAAAGAGACUCCUGCCGGCCGAGCACUGCAUCACUAAGAUAAAGAGAAAUUUCAAUAACGGCACCAUCCCCGGGACCCCUGGGCUGAACGGAGAGGACGGCGUAGAGCAGACGGCGAUCAAAGUUUCCCUUAAAUGCCCGAUCACGUUCAGACGAAUCCAGCUGCCAGCCAGAGGGCACGACUGCAGACACAUACAGUGUUUCGACCUGGAGUCCUAUUUGCAGCUGAACUGUGAAAGAGGGACCUGGAGAUGUCCUGUGUGCAAUAAAACAGCUUUGCUAGAAGGGCUGGAGGUGGACCAGUACAUGCUGGGGAUUCUCGUCUACAUCCACAAUUCUGACUAUGAGGAGAUCACCAUCGACCCGGUGUGCGGUUGGAGGCCAGUUCCAGUCAAACCCGACCUGCACAUAAAGGAGGAGCCAGACGGUCCGGUCCUGAAGCGCUGCCGAACAGUCAGCCCGAGUCAUAUGGUCCUGCCUAAUGUGAUGGAGAUGAUCGCCGCUCUGGGCCCGGCGUCGUCCCCCUACCACAGUCUGACUGCAGGUGGCCGCAACACGCCCGACUACAACAGGCCAGGGAGCCAGGGAUUCUCCAGCCAGGCGGGAUUCACGGACUUCCCCAACACUCCUGGCACCCCGACACUCGGAGAGUACGCCUCCUCUGGACCUCCACUCCCCUAUCAGUCUGAGCAGACGUCUCAUUCUGGGCGGAUGGACCACGGCCACAACAUCCUCCAGCAGCACGGUUCAGCCGUUCACGGCAAUCCCAGUCUCGGCGACGCCGGCAGCCCGCUGCCGCAGCGGAACGUCAAUUCCCAGAGUUCCCGGCUGCAGAGCGAAGGCUCCUUCGGUCUGGGAGGCCCCGGAGCGCCCGGAGGAGAGGGGCCCGAUCACGCGCUAGAUAUGAGAAGAUCCAUACCACCCUCAUGUCCUUACGGGGAUUAUGAAGCUACAGCCAGCGGCGGGAUAGCUUAGCUUAGCAUAAAGACUGGAAACAGGGAUGAAACAGCUAGCCUGGCUCUCUCUAAAGCUUCUUCCUGAGCUGACCAACCCGGACGAGCUGCUGUCCUACCUGGGCCCCCCCGACCUGCCCAACAACAGCAGCGAUGACCUGCUGUCUCUGUUCGAGAACAACUGACCGCCUUCACCUUGUCCCACCAGUCCUCUUCCAGCCUCGGCUUCUCCUUCUCCGUCUGCUGUAGCCCCGCCCUCAUUGGUCCAAGACAGCGCUGUGUGUGUGUGUGUGUGUGUGUGUGUGUGUGUGUGUGUGUGUGUGUGUGUGUGUGUGUGUGUGUGUGUGUGUGUGUGUGUGUG